rnacentral:rRNA from 1 species
UGCCAGACUCCUACGGGAGGCAGCAGUGAGGAAUAUUGGUCAAUGGACGCAAGUCUGAACCAGCCAAGUAGCGUGCAGGAUGACGGCCCUCCGGGUUGUAAACUGCUUUUAGUUGGGAAUAAAAGGGGGCUCGUGAGCCCCGUAUUGUAUGUACCAUCAGAAAAAGGACCGGCUAAUUCCGUGCCAGCAGCCGCGGUAAUACGGAAGGUCCGGGCGUUAUCCGGAUUUAUUGGGUUUAAAGGGAGCGUAGGCCGGCUUUUAAGUCAGCUGUGAAAGUCCGCGGCUCAACCGUGGAAUUGCAGUUGAAACUGGAGGCCUUGAGUGCACACAGGGAUGCCGGAAUUCAUGGUGUAGCGGUGAAAUGCGUAGAUAUUAGGAGGAACACCAGUGGCGAAGGCGGCUUACUGGACUGUAACUGACGUUGAGGCUCGAAAGCGUGGGGAGCAAACAGGAUUAGAUACCCGGGUA